rnacentral:rRNA from 1 species
AUGAACUCAUUCUCGCCCCCCGGCCCCGAUGGCCUUCCAGUAAAGUUCUUUCAAACUUUCUGGGAAUCCAUUAAGCCUGAGGUCAUGGCCCUAUUUGAAGAAUUCUAUGUUGGGGCCAUUGAUCUCACCCGUCUCAACUUUGGAAUAAUCACGCUCAUUCCCAAAGUUACGGGUGCCUCGGACAUCCGCCAAUUCCACCCAAUCAUGGUGAUCAAUGUCAUCUUUCGCAUCCUCGCGAAGGGGUACGCCAAUAGGGUGGCCCCAAUUGCGGACUGAAUCAUCCACCCGGAUCAGUCGGCUUUCAUCCAGGGCCGGUAUAUCUUGAACGGAGUCCUAGUGUUUCACGAAGCCUUACACGAGGUGCACUCCAAGCACCUCAAGGCAGUCUUCCUAAAACUAGAUUUCCACAAGGCCUACGACACGGUUAGCUGGCACUUCCUGCGUGAAUGCCUGCUUCGUAAGGGCUUUGACGAGAGAUAG